GCGGAUGUUACUGAAUUAACUGCUAAUACGUAACUAACGUGGUCGAUUUUUGACAAUUUAUGGAUGUGAUCUAGUAAGACGAAGAUUCCUAAACUGUUAGCCAUCUGAUCCACGAACACGGAAAACCAGUUUACGCAAUGGAAAUUAGCAUGGUUCUAGAUUCGGGAGCCCACUCCUUCUGGACCUGGCCAGGGCGGUAUGAACUGGAGCAUACCCCAUUGACUGCACAUGGCUGGAGUGAUACCGCCCCAAUGAGUUGAUGACUAGAAGACUCACGGUGUUAAACCACCCCAAUGGGUUGAUGGCAAGUAGACUUAACCUGGUAAGGUGGUGUCCCUUUGAAUAACAUCCCUGCAAGUUCUCCCUGGACUGGACCUGUGGACGAUUCUCUUCCACGUGGCCGGAGUUUCCAAGACGGUCGGUCCUUUCUUCCUCUGGAAGUGAUCAACUGGAAGGAAUUGUGUUGUGUGGUAGCCCAUAUGGGACUCACCUGGGACAUGGAUACCUGAAGACCGAAGGCUCAACAUUGUUAAUAAAUAUCAUGAGCAGCAGUGGUUUCCUUUGUCUUUUCCAUGUGUGUUCUGCUUUGUUUGUGAGGUUUUGCUGAGUAAUGGUGUUUGUCUGUGACUAUAGCAAAGACGGUCAUUCUUUUUAACUUCAAUAAAUCGGUUUUAACCAAG
ensembl:lncRNA